rnacentral:rRNA from 1 species
GAUGAACGCUGGCGGCGUGCCUAAUACAUGCAAGUCGAGCGAACGGACGAGAAGCUUGCUUCUCUGAUGUUAGCGGCGGACGGGUGAGUAACACGUGGAUAACCUACCUAUAAGACUGGGAUAACUUCGGGAAACCGGAGCUAAUACCGGAUGAUAUUUUGAACCGCAUGGUUCAAAAGUGAAAGACGGUCUUGCUGUCACUUAUAGAUGGAUCCGCCCUGCAUUAGCUAGUUGGUAAGGUAACGGCUUACCAAGGCAACGAUGGAUAGCCGACCUGAGAGGGAGAUCGGCCAGCCGGGAAGUGAGACUGGGUCCAGACUCCGACGGGAGGCAGCAGUAGGGAAUCUUCCGCAAUGGACGAAUGCCUGACGGAGCAACGCCGCGUGAGUGAUGAAGGUCUUCGGAUCGUAGAACUCUGUUAGUAGGGAAGAACAUAUGUGUAAGUAACUGUGCACAUCUUGACGGUACCGAAUCAGAAAGCCACGGCUAACUACGUG